rnacentral:lncRNA from 1 species
GAGAGUUCCGAUGGUGGGUGCAAUUGAGCCCCCCCCCCCCAGCAGACCUUGCACUAUCCUCUGGACCUGGGGUGGAGCUCGAGGGUGGAGGACGGUGGGUGAGACAGGUCUUGAUGGGAUCCCAAGAUGCUGGAGACCCCAAACUGAGGGGUCCAAAGGCUUCCCUGGCCCGCCUUUCUCGAAUCUCCGUCAGAACCUGAAUCUUCCCUCACAGUUCCCAGAUGGAUGAGUGUUUCUCCCUGUGAGGACCCUGGCAGGGCUUCCCAGUGCCAUCACGAUAAAGCCACCUUCCUCAGACUGUACUGGAGCCCUGCCCACCUCCACCUCAUCAUGCCUUGCUCUCUGUAGGGUCAUUAAAACAAAUGAUGCCUGGUAGAGGGGACAGUGGUCUGGCCCGUCCCUGCCAGGUCUCCGUCAUUCUGUGGCCCUGGGGACUUUGGUCCUUGCAGUGUCAUCUACAUUUCUGAAGGUGGCCUCUGCACUGGCCCUGAGGGAGGAACUUGGGGAUGCAGAAAUGUAAAGUUAUAGUGAGUCUCAAAAGAGAAGCACCCAUGAGCCACUGGCCAAACAAGCCCUCCUGGGCCACCAACUCAGGUCCUCAGCCCCUGCCCUGUCUGCAAAGAUGGACUCGAGGGCAAUGUACAAGGGCCAGAGAAACAGCCCUGCUCUCCUCCUCUAGUGCAGUCCCUAACUACUGUCCCUGUGUAAAUAUGGACACCCCAGACCAAGGUGUUGCUGUUUCCCCCUGGAGAUGGCCCAUGCUCUCCCUUGAACGUGAAUUCUUUUCUUUAUUCCAGAAGCUUCUCACCCUCAAGAUGGCCUGCAUUCUGCCUUGAACGUGUGUCUGCUGUCAUUAAUAAAUCAGUGUCUCUGACUGGUCCUCCACCCAGCAGCUUCAGGACCCGACUCCUUUCCCCAACCUCGAGAGUCGUCCUGGGGGCACUCCUUCCCUUAUCCUUCAAAUGACUAGAGCAUCCAUUGGAAUCAGGGCCUGUGAGAGACCUUAUGCUGUAGGACAUGACUAAGCUGCACUCUGAUUUCAGAC